rnacentral:rRNA from 1 species
CACAAAAAUGCACAUGCUGUGAGCUCGAUGAGUAGGGCGGGACACGUGGUAUCCUGUCUGAAUAUGGGGGGACCAUCCUCCAAGGCUAAAUACUCCUGACUGACCGAUAGUGAACCAGUACCGUGAGGGAAAGGCGAAAAGAACCCCGGCGAGGGGAGUGAAAAAGAACCUGAAACCGUGUACGUACAAGCAGUGGGAGCACAGAGCAAUCUGUGUGACUGCGUACCUUUUGUAUAAUGGGUCAGCGACUUAUAUUCUGUAGCAAGGUUAACCGAAUAGGGGAGCCGAAGGGAAACCGAGUCUUAACCGGGCGUUAAGUUGCAGGGUAUAGACCCGAAACCCGGUGAUCUAGCCAUGGGCAGGUUGAAGGUUGGGUAACACUAACUGGAGGACCGAACCGACUAAUGUUGAAAAAUUAGCGGAUGACUUGUGGCUGGGGGUGAAAGGCCAAUCAAACCGGGAGAUAGCUGGUUCUCCCCGAAAGCUAUUUAGGUAGCGCCUCGUGAAUUCAUCUCCGGGGGUAGAGCACUGUUUCGGCAAGGGGGUCAUCCCGACUUACCAACCCGAUGCAAACUGCGAAUACCGGAGAAUGUUAUCACGGGAGACACACGGCGGGUGCUAACGUCCGUCGUGAAGAGGGAAACAACCCAGACCGCCAGCUAAGGUCCCAAAGUCAUGGUUAAGUGGGAAACGAUGUGGGAAGGCCCAGACAGCCAGGAUGUUGGCUUAGAAGCAGCCAUCAUUUAAAGAAAGCGUAAUAGCUCACUGGUCGAGUCGGCCUGCGCGGAAGAUGUAACGGGGCUAAACCAUGCACCGAAGCUGCGGCAGCGACACUGUGUGUUGUUGGGUAGGGGAGCGUUCUGUAAGCCUGUGAAGGUGUGCUGUGAGGCAUGCUGGAGGUAUCAGAAGUGCGAAUGCUGACAUAAGUAACGAUAAAGCGGGUGAAAAGCCCGCUCGCCGGAAGACCAAGGGUUCCUGUCCAACGUUAAUCGGGGCAGGGUGAGUCGACCCCUAAGGCGAGGCCGAAAGGCGUAGUCGAUGGGAAACAGGUUAAUAUUCCUGUACUUGGUGUUACUGCGAAGGGGGGACGGAGAAGGCUAUGUUGGCCGGGCGACGGUUGUCCCGGUUUAAGCGUGUAGGCUGGUUUUCCAGGCAAAUCCGGAAAAUCAAGGCUGAGGCGUGAUGACGAGGCACUACGGUGCUGAAGCAACAAAUGCCCUGCUUCCAGGAAAAGCCUCUAAGCAUCAGGUAACAUCAAAUCGUACCCCAAACCGACACAGGUGGUCAGGUAGAGAAUACCAAGGCGCUUGAGAGAACUCGGGUGAAGGAACUAGGCAAAAUGGUGCCGUAACUUCGGGAGAAGGCACGCUGAUAUGUAGGUGAAGUCCCUCGCGGAUGGAGCUGAAAUCAGUCGAAGAUACCAGCUGGCUGCAACUGUUUAUUAAAAACACAGCACUGUGCAAACACGAAAGUGGACGUAUACGGUGUGACGCCUGCCCGGUGCCGGAAGGUUAAUUGAUGGGGUCAGCGCAAGCGAAGCUCUUGAUCGAAGCCCCGGUAAACGGCGGCCGUAACUAUAACGGUCCUAAGGUAGCGAAAUUCCUUGUCGGGUAAGUUCCGACCUGCACGAAUGGCGUAAUGAUGGCCAGGCUGUCUCCACCCGAGACUCAGUGAAAUUGAACUCGCUGUGAAGAUGCAGUGUACCCGCGGCAAGACGGAAAGACCCCGUGAACCUUUACUAUAGCUUGACACUGAACAUUGAGCCUUGAUGUGUAGGAUAGGUGGGAGGCUUUGAAGUGUGGACGCCAGUCUGCAUGGAGCCGACCUUGAAAUACCACCCUUUAAUGUUUGAUGUUCUAACGUGGACCCGUGAUCCGGGUUGCGGACAGUGUCUGGUGGGUAGUUUGACUGGGGCGGUCUCCUCCUAAAGAGUAACGGAGGAGCACGAAGGUUGGCUAAUCCUGGUCGGACAUCAGGAGGUUAGUGCAAUGGCAUAAGCCAGCUUGACUGCGAGCGUGACGGCGCGAGCAGGUGCGAAAGCAGGUCAUAGUGAUCCGGUGGUUCUGAAUGGAAGGGCCAUCGCUCAACGGAUAAAAGGUACUCCGGGGAUAACAGGCUGAUACCGCCCAAGAGUUCAUAUCGACGGCGGUGUUUGGCACCUCGAUGUCGGCUCAUCACAUCCUGGGGCUGAAGUAGGUCCCAAGGGUAUGGCUGUUCGCCAUUUAAAGUGGUACGCGAGCUGGGUUUAGAACGUCGUGAGACAGUUCGGUCCCUAUCUGCCGUGGGCGCUGGAGAACUGAGGGGGGCUGCUCCUAGUACGAGAGGACCGGAGUGGACGCAUCACUGGUGUUCGGGUUGUCAUGCCAAUGGCACUGCCCGGUAGCUAAAUGCGGAAGAGAUAAGUGCUGAAAGCAUCUAAGCACGAAACUUGCCCCGAGAUGAGUUCUCCCUGACCCUUUAAGGGUCC